rnacentral:misc_RNA from 1 species
CACACACUCACAUAUUUGCAGGCGCUACAAAUCUAUAGAAAGGGCUGUCAGUAGAAUAUUGAGUUGUGCCAAGAUUACAAAACAACUUAGUUGACUCGAGUAUGAUAUGCUUGCUUGCAUAGUAUGCAAAAUUUGGUCUGUGUGGUAAUACAUAUAUGGUGGAAUACUAUAUAGAGUCAAUUUAGAGAUUAUAUAUCAUCAUGCAGUGUUAAAUAUUUUAAUGAGUGAGUUGGGUGUUUUAUUUGUUUAAAUGAGUGAGUUGGGUGUUUUAUUUGUUUAUUUUAUGAAUCGAUCAGCUUGGUUUCUGACUUUUUUUUUUUUUUUGGUUU